rnacentral:pre_miRNA from 1 species
UAAAUGUGCAGAAGGCCGAACGAGCUGGUGGUUCUGAAAUUUUCUGUAUUUUAUUUCAGAACCACCAGCUCGUUCGGUUUUCUGCACAUUU